AUGACUAUAAAUAAAAUCUGCUCAAUGUUUUUAAAUAGCCGCAGAAUUUUAACUGUGCUAAGGUAGCAUAAUCAUUUACCUUUUAAUUAAAGGUUUGUAUGAAAGAUUUCACAAUUAAUUUACUUUUUUGUUAAUAUAAAUCUAAUUUAAAUCAAGAAUAAAAAUGUUCUUAUAAUUAAAAAGGACGACAAGACCCUAUUGAACUUAACUAAAGUUAAGCUGGGGAAGCUAAUUAAAUAUUAUUUUAAUAAACCUGUUUAAAUAAAUUUCUAAUACAAUUAAAUAAAACAAGUUACCAUAGGGAUAACAGCGUAAUAAUUUUCAAAAGUUCUUAUUUAAAAUAAAGAUUACGACCUCGAUGUUGAAUUAAAAUUACUCUAACCCGCAAUAGAGUUAGAAGUAGGUCUGU
rnacentral:rRNA from 1 species